AGCGAACGCUGGCGGCAGGCUUAACACAUGCAAGUCGAACGCCCCGCAAGGAGAGUGGCAGACGGGUGAGUAACACGUGGGAACGUACCCUUUGGUUCGGAAUAACUUGGGGAAACUCAAGCUAAUACCGGAUAAGCCCUUAUGGGGAAAGGUUUACUGCCGAAGGAUCGGCCCGCGUCUGAUUAGCUAGUUGGUGAGGUAAUGGCUCACCAAGGCGACGAUCAGUAGCUGGUCUGAGAGGAUGAUCAGCCACACUGGGACUGAGACACGGCCCAGACUCCUACGGGAGGCAGCAGUGGGGAAUAUUGGACAAUGGGGGCAACCCUGAUCCAGCCAUGCCGCGUGAGUGAUGAAGGCCUUAGGGUUGUAAAGCUCUUUUACCCGGGACGAUAAUGACUGUACCGGGAGAAUAAGCCCCGGCUAACUUCGUGCCAGCAGCCGCCGUAA
rnacentral:rRNA from 1 species